rnacentral:rRNA from 1 species
GCUCGUGGAACGAGCGGCGGACGGGUGAGUAACACGUGGGCAACCUGCCUGUAAGACCGGAAUAACCCCGGGAAACCGGGGCUAAUGCCGGGUAAUACUUUUCUUCGCAUGAAGGAAAGUUGAAAGAUGGCUUCUCGCUAUCACUUACAGAUGGGCCCGCGGCGCAUUAGCUAGUUGGUGAGGUAACGGCUCACCAAGGCGACGAUGCGUAGCCGACCUGAGAGGGUGAUCGGCCACACUGGGACUGAGACACGGCCCAGACUCCUACGGGAGGCAGCAGUAGGGAAUCUUCCGCAAUGGACGAAAGUCUGACGGAGCAACGCCGCGUGAACGAUGAAGGUCUUCGGAUCGUAAAGUUCUGUUGUUAGGGAAGAACAAGUACCGUGCGAAUAGAGCGGUACCUUGACGGUACCUAACGAGGAAGCCCCGGCUAACUACGUGCCAGCAGCCGCGGUAAUACGUAGGGGGCAAGCGUUGUCCGGAAUUAUUGGGCGUAAAGCGCGCGCAGGCGGUUCCUUAAGUCUGAUGUGAAAGCCCACGGCUCAACCGUGGAGGGUCAUUGGAAACUGGGGAACUUGAGGACAAAAGAGGAGAGUGGAAUUCCCCGUGUAGCGGUGAAAAUGCCUAUAUAUGUGGAGGAACACCAGCGGCGAAGGCAACUCUCUGGGUCUGUUUUCUCUAUUAUUAUUGGGAGAACGCGCGCGCCGGGUUUUCUUUUUUUUUGAUCCAACCCCCCCCGUCUACCCCAGUGUGGGUCUUUUAAAAUUGGGGAAUUGAAGGACAAAAGAGAGGAGGUGAAUUUCCUCGUGGGGGCGGUAAAAAGGGGUUAAAUAGUGGGGGGGAACCCCAGGGGGGGAGGGGGGUUUUUUUGUUUUUUUUUUUGACGGUGAGGUGGGGAAAGCGUGGGUAGAAAACAGGAUAUAGAUACCUGGGGUAUUCCCACGCCGUAAACGAUGAGUGUUAGGUGUUAGGGGGCUUCCACCCUUUAGUGUGGAAGUAAACGCAUAAGGCACUCCGCUGGGGAGGUACGGCGGCAAGGUUGAAACUCAAAGGAAUUGACGGGGGCCCGCCCAAGGGGUGGAGCAUGUGGUUUAUUUGGAAGCAACGGGAAGAACCUUACCAGGUCUUGACAUCCUUGGACCUCCCUAGAGAUAGGGAUUUCCUUUCGGGGACCAAGUGACAGGUGGUGCAUGGUUUUGUUCAGCUCGUGUCGUGAGAUGUUGGGUUAAGUCCCGCAACGAGCGCAACCCUUAAUUUUAGUUGCCAGCAUUCAGUUGGGCAUUUUAAGGUGACUGCCGGUGACAAACCGGAGGAAGGGGGGGAGGACGUCAAAUCAUCAUGCCCCUUAUGACUUGGGCUACACACGUGUUACAAUGGAUGGUACAAAGGGCAGGGAAGCCGCGAGGUGUAGCAAAUCCCAUAAAACCAUUUUCAGUUCGGAUUGCAGGCUGCAAUUCGCCUGCAUGAAGCCGGAAUCGCUAGUAAUCGCGGAUCAGCAUGCCGCGGUGAAUACGUUCCCGGGCCUUGUACACACCGCCCGUCACACCACGAGAGUUGGCAACACCCGAAGUCGGUGAGGUAACCAUUGGAGCCAGCCGCCGAA